rnacentral:rRNA from 1 species
GGGAAGAAGAAAGUGACGGUACCGCGCGAAUAAGCCCCGGCUAACUACGUGCCAGCAGCCGCGGUAAUACGUAGGGGGCGAGCGUUGUCCGGAAUUACUGGGCGUAAAGGGCAUGCAGGCUGUGCCGUAAGUUGGCUGUUAAAGGAUGCGGCUUAACCGUGUUUAGCAGUCGAAACUGCGGUGCUUGAGUACCGAAGAGGCAAGUGGAAUUCCCAGUGUAGCGGUGAAAUGCGUAGAUAUUGGGAAGAACACCGGUGGCGAAGGCGACUUGCUGGUCGGUAACUGACGCUCAUGUGCGAAAGCCAGGGGAGCAAACGGGAUUAGAUACCCCGGUAGUCCUGGCGGUAAACGAUGAAUGCUGGGUGUGCGAGUAGAGAUACUGGUGUGCCGUAGUUAACGCGAUAAGCAUUCCGCCUGGGGAGUACGGUCGCAAGAUUGAAACUCAAAGGAAUUGACGGGGGCCCGCACAAGCGGUGGAGCACGUGGUUUAAUUCGAUGCAAA